rnacentral:misc_RNA from 1 species
GAUCAAAGGAGGAGUGUGGAG